GUUAUGUCAUUUUGCUAGUGUGGUUCUUUUCUGGUGUCGCUAGCUAUAGUAUGUUGCAUUAAUUGUGUAAGUUAAAAUAACUAAAUGCUAAUCAAAUUAAACCAAAAUGUUGAUUUAAAUAUUUUGGGCGGUUUUUUGUGCGUUUGGGCAGGUUUUGGAACACUUUUGGGCUGGAAACCAUCAACUCUAUCUGGCAACACUGGUUGAGCUUCACAGAGCAGCGCAACAGGAGGACGACACGACAGACAUGAAGAGCAUUAGUUCAGCGCAAACGUUUCCCGCGCAAGUUUGAAUCUCUCUCAGUCAGGGGGGAUUGACUGACAGACGAACGUUACUCUACCAAACGGUUAUUCACUUAUAAAACCUUUUAAAGUUUAGCGCAAAUGUUUCCUGUGCAAGUUUGAAUCUCUCUCAGUCAGGGGGGAGAUUGACUGACAGACUAACGUUACUCUUUACCAAACGGUUAUUCACUUAUAAAACCUUUUAAAGUUUAGCGCUAACGUUUCCAGCGCAAGUUUGAAUCUCUCUCAGUCAGUCAGGGGGGAGAUUGACUGACUGACUGACUACUCGCCACCAAACUGUCAUUUACCCAGAAACCUUUUAAAGUUUAGCACAAACGUUUCCUGCACAAGUUUGAAUCUCUCUGUCAGGGGGGAGAUUGACUGACUGACUGACUGACUACUCGCCACCAAACAGUUAUUUACCCAGAAACCUUUUAAAGGUAACGUAAACAAAUGUAUUAAUUUAUUUAUUAUGUUGUUUCAGUAAA